rnacentral:ncRNA from 1 species
UGAAAGACGCUGAAAAGAAGAGUAGGCUGUCGGAACCGCAGCAGAGAGCCUCGGUUGGUGAAAAGAGGCGCGGGAAACACAGCCGAACAUGGUCUUGGAGUCCCGCGGGCGAAAGCUUUUAGUCCGCGGCGGGUUCGCCCGUUAAAGCGACAGGCGGUCGGUAUCGAGCCGGACGCCGGUGAGGCUGCCGCUUAAAUGCGGCGGCGAAGCAGGGUGGUACCACGAAGCGGCGCUCUCGUCCCUGGA